rnacentral:rRNA from 1 species
AGUGAACGCUGGCGGUAGGCCUAACACAUGCAAGUCGAACGGCAGCACAGUAAGAGCUUGCUCUUACGGGUGGCGAGUGGCGGACGGGUGAGGAAUACAUCGGAAUCUUCUUUUUCGUGGGGGAUAACGUAGGGAAACUUACGCUAAUACCGCAUACGACCUACGGGUGAAAGCAGGGGACCUUCGGACCUUGCGCGAUUGAAUGAGUCGAUGUCGGAUUAGCUAGUUGGCGGGGUAAAGGCCCACCAAGGCGACGAUCCGUAGCUGGUCUGAGAGGAUGAUCAGCCACACUGGAACUGAGACACGGUCCAGACUCCUACGGGAGGCAGCAGUGGGGAAUAUUGGACAAUGGGCGCAAGCCUGAUCCAGCCAUACCGCGUGGGUGAAGAAGGCCUUCGGGUUGUAAAGCCCUUUUGUUGGGAAAGAAAAGCAGCAGGUUAAUACCCCGCUGUUCUGACGGUACCCAAAGAAUAAGCACCGGCUAACUUCGUG